CCUACGGGAGGCAGCAGCUAAGAAUAUUCCGCAAUGGACGAAAGUCUGACGGAGCGACGCCGCGUGGAUGAAGAAGGCCGAAAGGUUGUAAAAUCCUUUUGUCGAUGAAGAAUAAGCAUGGGAGGGAAUGCCCGUGUGAUGACGUUAGUCGGCGAAUAAGCCCCGGCUAAUUACGUGCCAGCAGCCGCGGUAACACGUAAGGGGCGAGCGUUGUUCGGAAUUAUUGGGCGUAAAGGGCGCGUAGGCGGUCCUGUAAGCCCGGCGUGAAAACCUGGAGCUCAACUCCGGGCCUGCGCUGGGAACUGCGGGACUAGAGUCAUGGAAGGGAAGUUGGAAUUCCAGGUGUAGGGGUGAAAUCUGUAGAUAUCUGGAAGAACACCGGUGGCGAAGGCGAACUUCUGGCCAAUGACUGACGCUGAGGCGCGAAAGUGCGGGGAGCAAACAGGAUUAGAUACCCCGGUAGUCACG
rnacentral:rRNA from 1 species